AUACAGAGGGUGCGCGCGUUAAUCGGAAUUACUGGGCGUAAAGCGCGCGUAGGCGGCUUAUUAAGUCAGAUGUGAAAUCCCCGGGCUCAACCUGGGAACUGCAUCUGAUACUGGUAAGCUAGAGUUUUGGAGAGGGAAGUAGAAUUUCAGGUGUAGCGGUGAAAUGCAUAGAGAGCUGAAGGAAUACCAGUGGCGAAGGCGACUUCCUGGCCAAAAACUGACGCUGAGGUGCGAAAGCGUGGGUAGCAAACGGGAUUAGAAACCCUAGUAGUCC
rnacentral:rRNA from 1 species